rnacentral:lncRNA from 1 species
CUGCAGGCUGACUGGUGGGCCAUGCUUGAGAGAGUCCUGUCGUGUGCACCCGCCCCGCAUUUCUCACUCCUGACUGAAGGGCCUCCAUGCUACAUUCCGAAUGACAUGUCCACAUUUGCCACGGACAAGAAUGACAGAUGGAGAAAAAUCAUCUUUGACCCUUAAAAGUCAGUCGGUCAUGUUUUAUGAGAUCUAAAAAGGCCAAAGGCUUCAGGAAUCAUUUAAUCAGCACUUUCGAUGAAUUUCCUACAAUUAUCUCAACUCUACUAUUUCUUUGUGUCAGCUCUGUUCCCAAAUUAUUUUUCUUCAUUGUUCACAAGAUAACUGCCAACAACCACUAGGAUCAUUUUUUCUUACUUCACACCUAUGGAGAAAGAAGAACUCCACCCAUGAAACAUAAGUCUUGGGGUUUCAGUUGAUUGGACCACCUGGAACCAAUUCCAGAGCCCAGGAAGAUACCUUUGUGCUGGCUGAUUGGUUUAGACAUGGGUUACCUGAGACAAUCAUCUGCAGGAUUAGUAUAGAAUGACCAACCAGAGGACCUGGGGUGAGGGAAAGAAUAAAAUACAGGACACAGAGGCAAUCACAGCAGAGUGUCUGCUACAGUCCUUUUUCAUGCAUAGAUUCUAGGUUGCUAAUUAAGUUUUCCUCAGUGUCAGAGAUAAGCUCUGUUAAGAGGAAUCUAUUUCCUCUAAGAAUGCCAAGACAGACAUUUAAAGAUGGUUUUAUUUUAUAAAAAGCAUAACAAAAAUGGUGACUCUAAGCUUUUUCUCCAUAGUUUUCUUCCUAAGAAUAUACUACAACCAGGCCAGGGAUGCAGUUCAGUAGCACCACACCUGCCUCAUAAGCACAAGGUCCUGAGUUCGAUCCCCAGAACAACAACAAUAUAUAUAUAUAUACAUGUAUAUCAACCCCCAAAGAAAUGUUUGAUAUGAGUAAUUGAGAAUGAUUUAAAAUUUGUCUUAUAGCUCAACUUCCCUAAUCCUUUCUUUCCAAUUUGUAAAAGCGGUGUAACUUCAUUUGGAAUUCUGUUAUGGAAACCCAAAUAUCUUCCCCUCCACACUGAAUGAUGGAUCAUUAAACCUGUGGAAGACACUGUGUUCCAAGAAGGUGUCUGAAAUAAUGUUCCUUAAGAGUUUUCUCAUGCAUGUCCACAGGCCUCCCAAAACCUGUCAAAGAAGCACUUGUCCUGUCUUUAUAAAACACCCUAAAUUCAUCCACUCAAUCUGGAAAGUGCCAGGCUAAGGGAUUCCAGCAAGUAAGUAUUUCUUCCACGAGUUAAUUAGAAAUAGAGCUCCUUGAGUUUAGAGGUGUAAUUGUAGAAG